rnacentral:rRNA from 1 species
UACAGGGGGUGCAAGCGUUACUCGGAUUUACUGGGCGUAAAGAGCGUGUAGGCGGUUUGCUAAGUCUGAUGUGAAAUCCCUGGGCUCAAUCCAGGAAGUGCACCGGAUACUGGUAGACUAGAGUGUCGGAGGGGUUGGCGGAAUUCCCGGUGUAGAGGUGAAAUUCGUAGAUAUCGGGAGGAACAACAGAGGCGAAGGCGGCCAACUGGACGAUUACUGACGCUAAGGCGCGAAAGCGUGGGGAG